rnacentral:rRNA from 1 species
GAAAGGGAGAGUAACGCGUAGAUACCUACCCCCAGAUCCGGGAUAGCGGCGGGAAACUGCCGGUAAUACCGGAUAAUGUCCCCGGACCAAAGGUGUGAUUCCGUAUAGGGAUGGGUCUGCGUCCUAUUAGCUUGUUGGUGAGGUAAUAGCUCACCAAGGCCAAGAUGGGUAGCGGGUGUGAGGGCAUNGCCCGCCUCACUGGGACUGAGACACUGCCCAGACACCUACGGGUGGCUGCAGUCGAGAAUCUUCCGCAAUGGGCGCAAGCCUGACGGAGCGACGCCGCGUGCGGGAUGAAGGCCUUCGGGUUGUAAACCGCUGUCAGAGGGGAACAAAUCCAUGAGGGCUAUCCCUGAUGGUUGAGUGAUCCUCAGAGGAAGCGCAGGCUAAGUUCGUGCCAGCAGCCGCGGUAACACGAACUGCGCGAACGUUAUUCGGAUUUACUGGGCUUAAAGAGUUCGUAGGCGGCUUUGCAGGUGGGGUGUGAAAUCCCCCGGCUCAACCGGGGAACUGCGCUCCAAACCGCA